ACGCUCGACACCUACUGGAGGCAGCAGUGGGGAAUAUUGCACAAUGGGGGAAACCCUGAUGCAGCGACGCCGCGUGGAGGAAGAAGGUCUUCGGAUUGUAAACUCCUGUUGUUGGGGAAAAAGAGGAUGGUACCCAACAAGGAAGUGACGGCUAACUACGUGCCAGCAGCUGCGGUAAUCUGAGCGGGCUGGCAAGGC
rnacentral:rRNA from 1 species